UACGUAGGGUGCAAGCGUUGUCCGGAAUUAUUGGGCGUAAAGAGCUUGUAGGCGGUUUGUCGCGUCUGCUGUGAAAUUUCGGGGCUCAACCCCGAACUUGCAGUGGGUACGGGCAGACUAGAGUGUGGUAGGGGAGACUGGAAUUCCUGGUGUAGCGGUGAAAUGCGUAGAUAUUGGGAGGAACACCAGUGGCGAAGGCGGCUCGCUGGACCGGUUCUGACGCUGAGGCGCGAAAGCGUGGGGAGCAAACGGGG
rnacentral:rRNA from 1 species